UUAACUGAAAUUUGUAUGGAGUUGGAACGUAUGCUUACGUUUGCCGCUACGGGCGCUGUUCAAACUGCAUACAAAUUUGACUUA
rfam:Bombyx mori DNA, contig: Bm_scaf3_contig2665, strain: p50T/Dazao, build 2, whole genome shotgun sequence.